CACACAUUCCUUAGAUCCACUCCUGGGACAGCCACCAUCUCGUCCUCUAUGGAUGGUUCAUGUCCAGCAACUUUAUCGGUUGUACCGUCGGGGGUGCUUGAGUCAUUAGUGUGUCAGAGUAAUAUACCUCCACUGUUGGUCCAUGGCCUGAGCUCGUCGAUCAGAGGCUUUCUGAUUGGUGCCUUGUGUUCAGGACUAAACCAAUGAUGGGGACAUU